rnacentral:lncRNA from 1 species
CCUGAACUGGGUUUUCUUUUGUAGAGAGAGAAAGAGAGAACCAGAAAGGAAGAGUGAGAAAGAACCUCAUCCCCAAAUACCCAUUUCAUCGCCUCUCUUUUAGAUCUGAGACCCUACAGCGCUCUCUCUCAAAUUCAUGUCCGCCAUCGCAACAAUAACCACCGCUGAAACCAGUUGGAACCAUCUUCCAUCGAUCUUGCAGCUAGGGUUCAACCAUCUUCCACCGCUGAAACCAGUUGCAACCAUCUUCCAUCGAUCUUGCUGCUAGGGUUCAACCAUCUUCCACCGCUGAAACCAGUAAUGAUGUUCGUACCCCAAGCAUGUGCUGCUUCAGAUGUGAAGGAUAGGUCGGGUAUUGGGUCCUAACAAAUUUUAGCCAAAACAGGAAUCGGUAGUUGGUGGUGUACAAACAAUGCUUAGAAUAGCAGAGGACAAGUUUCACGAUGGAUAUGUUAUGCAAGGAAAACUGUACAUAUGCGACCUUUGGAUGACGUUAUAAGCUCCAUCAAUGGAUGGUAUAUGGAGCGUGGCCUUUUUGCCUUGGUUUCAGGGGUUGAGUUUCAUUGUGGGGGAAUUUUGAGGUUAGGCUAACAAUAUAUCCAUAUGCUUUCUCAAUAAAACGUAUUUCUAGGGCUAGCUGUUUAAGGUUCAUAUAACCUUAUGAAUCUUGAAUGACUCAAUUUGGUUAAAGUCUAUCGGGAACAAGUUAGGAAUGGCGCCUUCGACUGAAGAACGGGCCGUUGAAGCCAAGUUUAACGAGGAUGGAAAUACAGGUUUGAAGAGUCAGACUAAGUAAGAUGAUGAAACAGUUGCAGUUGUUGAAGGGGCACUGGAGUCAUUCAAGCUGCACUCGGGUUUUUCAGAUUGGAUUUUCUGAUCGAUUUUCUGUCACAUGCUGCGAUUGUGGGGUUCAUGGGAGGAGUGGUCAUUACCAUUGCGGUUCAGCAACUUAAAGGGUUGUUAGGCAGCAAAGAUUUCAAAAUAAAGAUUUCAUAGGAACACUUUAAAAAAUGGAGAUGUCGAUUAUAUUUGUUGAACAACUUACUAAACUAAAACUUGUGCUCAUAAAAUAGAAAAUGGAAAAUGGAACUGACAAGUGUCAAAACAUUAUUAUUUUAGAUUACUUGGUUUCAUGUUAUUUUGAUUUUUUAAAAAUCAUACAUCAUAUUUAUUA